rnacentral:rRNA from 1 species
CCUACGGGUGGCAGCAGUGGGGAAUAUUGCACAAUGGGGGAAACCCUGAUGCAGCGACGCCGCGUGAGUGAAGAAGUAUUUCGGUAUGUAAAGCUCUGUCAGCAUGGCAGACACUGACGGUACCUGACCAAUAAGCCCCGGCUAACUACGUGCCAGCAGCCGCGGUAAUACGUAGGGGGCAAUCGUUCUCCGUAUUGACUGUGUGGAACGGUAGCGUAGACGGCAGGGCAAGUCUGGAUGGAAAGGCGGGGGCUCAACCCCCGGAGUGAUCUGGAAACUGAGAGGCUGGAGUGCAGGAGAGGUAAGUGGAAGUCGUGGGGGAGCGGUGAAAGGCGUAGAGAUUAGGAGGAAAAACAGGGGAGAAGGCGGAUGACUGGACUGUAAAUGACGUUGAGGCUCGAAAGCGUGGGGAGCAAAAAGGAUUAGAGAACCGAGGAGGC